GACGAACGCUGGCGGCGUGCUUAACACAUGCAAGUCGAACGGUAAGGCCCUUCGGGGUACACGAGUGGCGAACGGGUGAGUAACACGUGGGUGAUCUGCCCUGCACUUCGGGAUAAGCCUGGGAAACUGGGUCUAAUACCGGAUAGGACCACUGCCUGCAUGGGUGGUGGUGGAAAGCUUUUGCGGUGUGGGAUGGGCCCGCCGCCUAUCAGCUUGUUGGUGGGGUGAUGGCCUACCAAGGCGACGACGGGUAGCCGGACUGAGAGGGUGCCAGGCGACACUGGGACUGAAGUAGGGCCCAGAAUGCUACGGGAGGCAGCGGUGGGGAAUAUUGCACAGUGGGCGCAAGCCUGAUGCAGCGACGCCGCGUGAGGGAUGGCGGCCUUCGGGUUGUAAACCUCUGUCAGCAUCGACGAAGCGCAAGUGACGGUAGGUGCAGAAGAAGGACUGGCCAACUACGUGCCAGCCGCCGCAGUAA
rnacentral:rRNA from 1 species